AUGAUAGAAUAAUCAAGACCAAGAGUUUAAAGGAACUGAUCCCAUGAACAAGCAAAGGAGAACCUACUAGCUACCCUCCACCUUACACCAACCUCCCAACAUCACAAUGCUUGCUCCAACGAGAAAAGGCAAGAAAAAUAUUGUUCCAUUCACCAACCUUCAUCACCCCUCCAUUCUCCUACAGUGACAAACUCUACAACCCCACCAUAAUAGCCGAAAAAGCACUCUCUGCAGCAACAACAAACAACACACCACAACCUCCACACCUGUCACUAGUAGAAAAACACACCAACAUUUACACAAAAUUGCACAACAACACCCAUCUCCAACAAGUACCACGGCUUCACCUAGAUGUUUUCCGAAUACACUCAACUGGAUUCAUCAUCCAGUCAGAGAGAAUAAAAAAUCAUUUAGUCUUAGCCUAGCUUUAGCCACUUCCACCUGUUGACCUUCAUUUGUUCAAGGAUUUCGUGACCCUAUAAAUUAUGAUCUUUAAAAAUCAUACCAUUUCUAGCAAUCCAAAUAGCUUUGACCACAGCAUGCCAUGCAUACCAACAUCCAACAUUCUACUUCAAUCCCCCUACCCCUUGCCAACCCAUCAAAUUGAUGCAUCUAAGCAUCCAUUUGAUCCUCUUGCAAAAUGAUUACUAAAAUGCCUAAUCAUUCCGACUCUCAUACCCCUAAAGUUGAUUGUUUCCUAUGUUAGCUGAUUUCAAUCCCUAAAGUUUAGGGAUCAAUUAUGUUCUCCACAUAUUACACACACAAAUUCAAUGUAGUACUACAUAACAAAAGUUGUUUUUAGAUUCAACUUGCUCAAGCAAUUGAAAGUACAAAUUAGUUUUCAGAAUCAAAAAUCUAUAGGCAGUUCAUUUUUAGAUGCUAUUUUUCAGUUUUUUUACUAUUUUGUUAUGCACUUUCUAUUAUCAAUCUAAAAUCUAACACUUUUUCUCUUGUUCCCAUUGCUCAUGUCACAUUACCUACAACAUUGCAUUAUUCUCUUGUCACAGUUACACCUACACCUACACCAACCCUCCCAUCAUAUCUAAUCUAAAUUCUACCUAUUCCUAUCUAUCUGAACAGAGCAGAGGAGAGAGAGAGAGAGAGAUACACUGUCACACACACAACACAAAACACAAAGGGUCUGUGUUUGUUCCCCUGAAAAGUCCAGCUUUCUCCACCACCUCUCUAGGGUUCCUUCGGUUUCAAUUUUUGCUUAAAAAUAUUAUUUUUUUUACUCUUAUUUUCCAAAUCUAAACUCGUAUUUCCCUUUGGAAAUUCUUCUCAAAGUAUUAUCAUGAGCUAAUGUUGUCAUAAUUAUUUAUAAUUCAAUUUAAAUUUAUCUUUUAUCAUUCUUCUUUAGAUAGAUUUGUGUGCUGUUUUGUGUAGUUUCUUGUUGUUGUGACAUACUUUUGUGAGUUUGGUUGUCGAACAAUUUCCUUUUUCUUCUUUUAGUUGGCUCUCUAAUCUAAUACAAUGUUUGAUCUUGGCUGCAUGUUUUCAAUUCAUACUGUUUCAUCCCAGUUCGAUAAAUUACGAGUCAUGGCAUGACAUCUAUACAUUGUUCAUAGUUUGCAUUAGAAUUCCCUUUUCAUUUUUCUUUUCUCUAGUCUUCAUAUUACUAAGUAGGUAUAAAUUCUUGUCAAAAUGCUUACUUAUUAUCUCUUUGCAGCAGCUGAAUUUGUAGAACUGAACUAAAGCUUCCUUCAUCAUAUUUUCCAACAGCUUAAUUACAAAAUAGCAUAUAAGAUAAUCUUCUAGAGCCAAUAUCCUCUUGCCACGUAAUCAUUGUCUUGGCUGGACUUCCUUGACGUAAUCUUGCAGAUAGUGAGUGGAUCUCAUCAAUUGUUUUCUGGAGAGAGAGAGCUCACGAAAGCAAGCCACUCGAUCCAACAACGUCUACGAUCAUUGUCUACUAGAUCACCUAGUGCUGAGAGACCAGUGGUCCAUGUUGAUCCUGCUACCGAUAAGGCCGAUGGUCCCCAAAGGAAGAAAUUAAGAAUAUAUUUGGGGAUUGUGGCGCGUGAUAAGAUGGACAUCACCUGCGAGAACUGGAAAGAGGUCCCUACUGCUCAGAAGGACUUGCUUUGGGAGGAUAUUCAGGCGGAAUUUGAAAUCCCAGAGGCUUCUGACAGUAGGACGAAAAGGAAGUUACUUUAGACUAUGGGCGAGAGAUAGAGGCAACCUCACGAGGAAAUGAGCCCUUGCAGCCGAUCAAGACGGUGUGAACGACACUGUCUGUGAGAAAUAGGACAUAAGCA